GUGGGAACCUGGCUGGCCUGUUAGGAAGAGGUUGCCCAACCCAGGGCUUGUUAAGAAGAGUGCAGUUACCUCAGAGAGACGGUUCAAGUGAAGGCAUAAGUUAAAAACCAGACCCCAGGAUACUAGGAUAAGAAAGGUCCCAGAUCCUUGCCAUAAUUUCCAUCAUGUUCAUCGUCCUCUCCACCAUUGCCCUGUCCCUCAACACGCUGCCUGAGCUACAGAGCCUCGAUGAGUUUGGCCAGUCCACAGACAACCCCCAGCUGGCCCACGUGGAGGCCGUGUGCAUCGCAUGGUUCACCAUGGAGUACCUGCUGCGGUUCCUCUCCUCGCCCAAGA
rnacentral:sRNA from 1 species